AUGGCGCGGCUGAUCGACGACGUCACCGCCGAGAUCCUCCUCCGCCUCCCGCCGGACGAUCCGGAGCACCUCUUCCGCGCGGCCCUCGUCUGCAAGCCGUGGCUCCGCAUUCUCUGCGACCCGGGCUUCCUCCGCCGCUACCGCGCCUUCCACGGCGCCCCUCCCCUCCUCGGCCUCCUCCACAGGCUCAGGGUGAUCGACGGGGACGCGCCCGCCCGCUUCGCCGCCACCACGUCGGUGCCGGAUUUCCCCCACCCGAGCUCCGACUGCCGCCGCACGCGCGCCCUCGACUGCCGCCACGGCCGCGUCCUCGUCCGCAUGCUGGAGCACGAGGACAUGGACUACCUCGUCUGGGACCCUAUCACGGGCGACCGCCACGCCGUCCCCGCCCCGGACAUCGAGUGGCUCAUCGAGUCCGCGGCAGUGCUCUGCGCCGCCGAGGGCUGCGACCACCUCGACUGCCACGGCGGCCCCUUCCGCGUGCUCUUCGCCGCCACCCACGACUACGAGGACACCAUAUGCGCGAGCGUCUACUCGUCGGAGACGGGGGCAUGGACCGAGCCGGUGUGUCUCGACAACAGUUGUGAAACCUUUGCAAAGCACAUGCGAGAGGGAGAAGCAUAUAGACGCUGCUACACACCCUAUCUCCACCCUAAGCGAGGCACCCUUGUCGGAGAUGCAGUCUACUUCACAGUUCGGCUGGGUAAUGCAAUCGUCAAGUAUGACUUGGGCAGGAACAGCUUAUCCAUGAUUGACCCGCCGCCGCACACCAUGUAUUACAUUGCCCUCAUGGCGAUGGAGGAGAACAGUUCACUUGGCUUUGCCUACAUUAAGGAUUCCAGCCUCUAUAUGUGGUCAAUGGAUAUGGAAGGACCUGCGGAAUGGGUGCAAUACAGGGUCAUCGAACUGGAGAAAACGGUGCCUGUUGCCAAACAAGAUGAGAAACCAUUUGUUGUUGGGUCUGCAGAGGGUGUGGGUGUCAUCUUCGUAUGCACAGGUGCUGGCUUAUUUAUGAUCAAGCUCAGCUCUGGGCAGCUUAAGAAGGUUGAUGAGCCUGGGGUCUACUUUAGCGUCCUACCCUACAUGAGCUUCUACCCUCCAGGCAAUAUUCCAACUGGCAGGAAGGGAAAUGAACUUGCUCGGGCGCUGGCCCUGUCACUUACUCUUGCACUUCAUUUGCUUGCAUUGAUAUCGCGCAUCGGUGAGGAGAUGAGCAGCCCCCGCAGCCGCCCUAGGUCGUCGGCGGCGGCGCCGCUGGACGACGAAGACCUCCUCUCCGAGAUCCUCCUCCGCCUCCCCCCGCUGCCCUCAUCCCUCCCCCGCGCGUCCCUCGCCUGUAAGCUCUGGCGACGCAUCGUAUCCGACCCCCGAUUUCUCCGCCGCUUCCGCGAGCACCACCGCCGCAACCCUCCCCUCCUCGGCUGCUUCGUCCAAACUCUCUACACCGUCCAUUUCGAACCUACGCUGGAGGCCCCCAAUCGCGUCCCGCAAACCCGCUUCCCCUUUCCCAUCGACACCGGCGGCACCGUCAUGAUCCUCGGAUGCCGCCAUGGCCUCAUGCUCAUCUUCCUUUGGACGCGGAACCAGCUCCUGGUAUGGGACCCCCUCACGGGUGACCAGCACCGCCUAGACAUUCCCCCAGGGUUCGACAAGGAGGAAACCGUGAUUAACGGAGCGGUGCUUCGUGCUCCCGAAGAAGCCAACCACUUCCAGGUUGUCUUGGUUGGCAACAGCGACAUAAAACUUACACAGGCUGUCGCCUCGGUGUACUCGUCGGAGACUGGUCUAUGGAGUAAUCUGGUGUGGACACUGCUUCCGGCCGACGAUCCUCAUGUACCCACCAUGGUUUACCAUGACAUGUGCUCUGUGAUGGUUGGGAAUUCCCUUUACUGGUUGCUUUCUGGGAAUUGGUUUGGAAUACUUGAAUUUAAUUUGGAUAGGCAGAGCCUAAGUGUGAUAAAUGUGCCAGUGGAAAUCAUCGAUGUCGGCAGUUGCUUGCUCACGGUUAUGCAGGCUGAGGGUGGUGGCCUUGGUUUCCUCUUCAUUUCGGAGAACUGCAUCCAGUUAUGGAAGAAGAAGAUGGUGUAG
rnacentral:rRNA from 1 species